rnacentral:rRNA from 1 species
UUUAUACUAUGAAGAGUUUGAUCCUGGCUCAGGAUGAACGCUAGCGGCAGGCUUAACACAUGCAAGUCGAGGGGCAGCACGAGUAGCAAUAUUUGGUGGCGACCGGCGCACGGGUGAGUAACGCGUAUGUAAUCUACCUUUAACUGGGGCAUAGCUCCGAGAAAUCGGAAUUAAUUCCCCAUAAUAUUGAUGAAAGACAUCUUUUAUUUAUUAAAGUUCCAACGGUUAGAGAUGAGCAUGCGUGCCAUUAGCUUGUUGGUAGGGUAACGGCCUACCAAGGCUACGAUGGCUAGGGGGUCUGAGAGGAUGAUCCCCCACACUGGUACUGAGACACGGACCAGACUCCUACGGGAGGCAGCAGUGAGGA